AAGAUAUUGAAUUUGAAUAAAUCACAAAUUCCAAUCCUCAUAAUCAGAACUAGAAAGAUUACACAGUCCUAAACAAGACCAAUCAACAAAUGGGGGCUAGAUCAAGAGGAUAUACAACAAGAAAAAAGUCGGUCAUGACACAUCUGAAACCCAGAAGAAUUAAAAAUGUUCAGCUCAAGUCAAGAGGAGUUACCAGAUUAGCA
rnacentral:misc_RNA from 1 species